rnacentral:rRNA from 1 species
AGCUUAAAGAUAUUUAUUUUAAGUUAAACCUGCCCAGUGUUGUUUUAAUAAAUGGCCGCGGUACUCUGACCGUGCUAAGGUAGCGCAAUCAAUUGGUUUUUAAUUGGAGCCAGGUAUGAAUGGAGUUACGGAGUCUUUCUGUCUCCUGGCUAAUUUAUCGAAGUUACUAUAUAGGUGAAAAAGCCUAUAAAAAGAAAAAAGACGAGAAGACCCUUAGAGUUUUUUUUCAAAGAAGUUUUGUUGGGGCAACAAAGGAACAAAUUUCCAUCUACCGAUUAUUUUAAAUUUGAAUAAACUACCUUAGGGAUAACAGCAUAAUUUUAUAAAUAAGUUUGUGACCUCGAUGUUGGACUGGGAAACUAAAGGGCUAGCCGCCUUUUAGGUGAGUUCUGUUCGAACUAUUAUUCCC